rnacentral:lncRNA from 1 species
GACGUUUCUUUUUUCUGCUGAGUUUAUGUUAUAGAGGGACGGACGGACAGACAGACAGCAGGACGGACAGACAGUGGAGACGGCGUCACUGAAAUCUUUAUUCACAGAUUCAGAGCCUGCAGUGAGAUCAGUCGUGACAUCACAGUCCUGUCAUCACCGAUAUGACAUCACAGUCGUGACAUCACAGUCGUGACAUCACAGAAUGACAUCACAGUCGUGACAACACAGCUGCGUCAAUGCGACGGUUACACGCUGUCAAACAACGAGCAGCUAGCGUCCGCUAGCUAACAUGCUAACAUGUUUUUUUUUUUUUUUAGCUAAUCUAAUGUCUGCGAACAUGCUAACAUGGUUUGGUAGCUAGCGUCCUCUAACAUGUUAACAUGUUGUUUUUUUUAGCUAAUGUCUGCGAACAUGCUAACAUGGUUUGGUAGCUAGCGUCCGCUAACAUGCUAACAUGGUUUGGUAGCUAACGUCCGCUAACAUGCUAACAUGGUUUGGUAGCUAGCGUCCGCUAACAUGCUAACAUGGUUUGGUAGCUAACGUCCGCUAACAUGCUAACAUGGUUUGGUAGCUAGCGUCCGCUAACAUGCUAACAUGGUUUGGUAGCUAGCGUCCGCUAACAUGCUAACAUGCUAACAUAUUACAUUUAAAAAAUAUAUAUAUAAAACUUUCAAAUGUGUUGAAAGCGUAUAAAAUGUACAACUGAGUAGAAACGAACAGAACUCUGGUCUAUAAUAACUCUGAUAUAUCAAAUCAACUAUAUAGAAAUAAUCCAGCAACAUGUUUACACAGGUGAAGUGUUCAGAGACUAUGGUGACGUCAGACAGAACUAGUGUUGUGAUUGGGCGAUGGAACGUACAGCGAAAUCAUUUGGGCUACUGUAAUUGGCUGGCAGCUAAGGUCCUUGUCCAAUCAGGUUGUUGUGGGGCGGAGAUCAGCAGAGUUCUGUCUUCUUUGGUUGUUGUGUUGUGUUCUCUUUCUCUUUCCCACCUUUGUUUCUCUACCAGUUUUCUUGGCCCCUGAGGAUGAGAACAGAAUAUUUAACAUUAUUAACAACAUCAAAAUACACAAGGAGUGAAGGAGGG